UGUCUACUAAUUAUAGACCUGUAUGANAGGCAAAAUGAGGGUCUAACUGUCUCUUAUAAUAAAUCAAUUAAACUGAUCUACUAGUAAAAAAGCUAGAAUAACAACAUAAGACCAGAAGACCCUGUGAAGCUUAAAUUAAACUAUUAAAUCAAAUAAUAACUACUUUCGGUUGGGGCGACCUUGGAAAAAAAAAGAACUUCCAAGAUCCAGCAUAGCUGAUAAUUGAACCAAGUUACUCCAGGGAUAACAGCGCAAUCUUCUUCAAGAGUCCAUAUCAAAAGGAAGGUUUACGACCUCGAUGUUGGAUCAGGACAUCCUAAUGGUGCAGCCGCUAUUAAGGGUUCGUUUGUNCAACGAUUAAUAGUCCUACGUGAUCUGA
rnacentral:rRNA from 1 species